rnacentral:rRNA from 1 species
GACGAACGCUGGCGGCGUGCUUAACACAUGCAAGUCGAACGGAAAGGCCCUGCUUUUGUGGGGUGCUCGAGUGGCGAACGGGUGAGUAACACGUGAGUAACCUGCCCUUGACUUUGGGAUAACUUCAGGAAACUGGGGCUAAUACCGGAUAGGAGCUCCUGCUGCAUGGUGGGGGUUGGAAAGUUUCGGCGGUUGGGGAUGGACUCGCGGCUUAUCAGCUUGUUGGUGGGGUAGUGGCUUACCAAGGCUUUGACGGGUAGCCGGCCUGAGAGGGUGACCGGCCACAUUGGGACUGAAAUACGACCCAGACUCCUACGGGAGGCAGCAGUGGAGAAUAUUGCACAAUGGGCGGAAGCCUGAUGCAGCAACGCCGCGUACGGGAUGACGGCCUUCGGGUUGUAAACCGCUUUCGCCUGUGACGAAGCGUGAGUGACGGUAAUGGGUAAAGAAGCACCGGCUAACUACGUG